rnacentral:rRNA from 1 species
GAUGAACGCUGGCGGCGUGCCUAAUACAUGCGAGUCGAGCGAACGGACGAGAAGCUUGCUUUUCUGAUGUUAGCGGUGGACGGGUGAGUAACACGUGGAUAACCUACCUAUAAGACUGGGAUAACUUCGGGAAACCGGAGCUAAUACCGGAUAAUAUUUUGAACCGCAUGGUUCAAAAGUGAAAGACGGUCUUGCUGUCACUUAUAGAUGGAUCCGCGCUGCAUUAGCUAGUUGGUAAGGUAACGGCUUACCAAGGCAACGAUGCAUAGCCGACCUGAGAGGGUGAUCGGCCACACUGGAACUGAGACACGGUCCAGACUCCUACGGGAGGCAGCAGUAGGGAAUCUUCCGCAAUGGGCGAAAGCCUGACGGAGCAACGCCGCGUGAGUGAUGAAGGUCUUCGGAUCGUAAAACUCUGUUAUUAGGGAAGAACAUAUGUGUAAGUAACUGUGCACAUCUUGACGGUACCUAAUCAGAAAGCCACGGCUAACUACGUG